GCGGGGCUGCGGGGUGCGUCGGAGACGCAAUCCCCGGGGCCUUAUCGAUCCUCAAGGGAGCUGUCCCUGGCCGAGCUCGUGGGCUCGGACAUAUGGCGCCCACCUACGUUGUAGGUACCCGGGAUCGAACGCUCCGACGGCCAGCGCGGCUCCGCA
rnacentral:other from 1 species